rnacentral:rRNA from 1 species
AAUCAACGCUGGCGGCGUGCCUAACACAUGCAAGUCGAACGCGAAAGCCCCUUCGGGGGUAAGUAGAGUGGCGUCCGGGUGAGUAACACGUAGGUAAUCUACCUUCGGGUGGGGAAUAACCAGUCGAAGAUUGGCUAAUACCGCAUAAUGCAGCGGCACCUAAUGGUGAUUAGUUGUUAAAGCGGGGGAUCGUAAGACCUCGCGCCUGAAGAGGAGCCUGCGGCAGAUUAGCUAGNGGUGAGGUAAUGGCUCACCAAGGCUUCGAUCUGUAGCUGGUCUGAGGAGGGCGAACGGCCACACUGGCACUGAAAUACGGGCCAGACUCCUACGGGAGGCAGCAGUGGGGAAUUUUGGGCAAUGGCCGAAAGCUGACCCAGCAACGCCGCGUGAAGGAUGAAAUCUUUCGGGAU